rnacentral:tRNA from 1 species
GCCUUCGUGGUGUAGUGGUCAGCACGCUCGACGCGUAACCGAGAGGUCCGGGGUUCGAUUUCCGGCGAAGGCG